rnacentral:rRNA from 1 species
UACGGCGGGAGCAAGCGUUAAUCGGAAUUACUGCGCGUAAAGCGCACGUAGGUGGUUUUGUAAGUCGGAUGUGAAAGCCCUGGGCUUAACCUGGGAAUUGCAUUCGAUACUGCUUGACUAGAGUAUGGUAGAGGGAAGUGGAAUUUCCGGUGUAGCGGUGAAAUGCGUAGAUAUCGGAAGGAACACCAGUGGCGAAGGCGACUUCCUGGGCCAAUACUGACACUGAGGUGCGAAAGCGUGGGUAGCAAACAGG